AGGAUAUGGAGCAUCCUGUGCAAUGCCAUGUGCUCACCUGGGGAGUUUCCAAGAUCCUGAGGAUGUCUGGCAUCGCUGGAUUUACCUCGUACUGGGUGGAAGUGGGUGUGUCAAGCACCCCUUGGAGAAGCCUCAUCAGGGUAGUGCAUUUCACGAGCUCGUCAGCACUGUGUGAGAACCGCCUGCUUCCCAUUGCCCUGUCGUCCUUAACAAGCACCUGUGUGGAGACGCGAGUCUGCCUUAGUGACAAUGUCGAGCAGACCCUGUUCUAAACCUCCACUGCUCAGCUCGACAUAGAGACUGGAGAGUCCUAAAGAGUCUCAGCUUGACGUAUACUUCUAAGAGAGCUUAUCCUCUAGCCAGAAGGAAGAGCCCCAGGUUCUAUAGCUCAAAUGUUUAACGUUCCCCAGAGGCCCAUUGGGUGAGGAUCUGGUCCUCGGGCGUGGCACUAUAGGGAGGUGGUGGAACCUUGACCAGGU
rnacentral:lncRNA from 1 species